rnacentral:tRNA from 1 species
CAAGAAGUAGUUUAAUAAGAACAUCAGCUUUGGGCGCUGACGACGAAGGUUAAGCCUUCCUUCUUGA